ensembl:antisense 4933431E20Rik RIKEN cDNA 4933431E20 gene
GCAGGCGCAGCUGCUGCGGCUCCUGAAAUCCUCCGGUGUGAACUUCUCCCAGGGCUGUUGAUGCUUCAUCUACUCUUCUGGCAGUGGGGGCCUGGACCUUAGUUACCCGGGAAGCGUGAGUCAUGUUGCACAGUUGAGCUGGCACAUAAAACUACGAGUCACACCAGAAGAGGGCAUUGGAUCCCACUAUAGACUGUUGUGAGCCACCUUGUGGUUGCUGGGAAUUGAACUCAGGACCUCUGGAAGAGCAGUUGGUGCUCUUAACUGCUGAGUCAUCUCUCCAGCCCCAGAACAAGGAAUUGAAGCUUGGAGAAGAUUGAUGGACCACUCAAGUUCCCUGGAUGGUCCAGGAUGCAGACUGAGGAUGGCCUAAAACAUUAGUUUUGCUGGCUCCCUGUGCUUGGCUAACUUUAGAGCCUCUUACCUUGCCACAGUCUUUUCUAUGAAGGACAGAGAGCCAAGGAGUGGACCAACAUGCCUGAG